GACGAACGCUGGCGGCGUGCCUAAUACAUGCAAGUAGAACGCUGAAGGAGGAGCUUGCUUCUCUGGAUGAGUUGCGAACGGGUGAGUAACGCGUAGGUAACCUGCCUGGUAGCGGGGGAUAACUAUUGGAAACGAUAGCUAAUACCGCAUAAUAGUAGAUGUUGCAUGACAUUUGCUUAAAAGGUGCAAUUGCAUCACUACCAGAUGGACCUGCGUUGUAUUAGCUAGUUGGUGGGGUAACGGCUCACCAAGGCGACGAUACAUAGCCGACCUGAGAGGGUGAUCGGCCACACUGGGACUGAGACACGGCCCAGACUCCUACGGGAGGCAGCAGUAGGGAAUCUUCGGCAAUGGACGGAAGUCUGACCGGGCAACGCCGCGUGAGUGAAGAAGGUUUUCGGAUCGUAAAGCUCUGUUGUAAGAGAAGAACGAGUGUGAGAGUGGAAAGUUCACACUGUGACGGUAUCUUACCAGAAAGGGACGGCUAACUACGUGCCAGCAGCCGCGGUAAUACGUAGGUCCCGAGCGUUGUCCGGAUUUAUUGGGCGUAAAGCGAGCGCAGGCGGUUAGAUAAGUCUGAAGUUAAAGGCUGUGGCUUAACCAUAGUACGCUUUGGAAACUGUUUAACUUGAGUGCAAGAGGGGAGAGUGGAAUUCCAUGUGUAGCGGUGAAAUGCGUAGAUAUAUGGAGGAACACCGGUGGCGAAAGCGGCUCUCUGGCUUGUAACUGACGCUGAGGCUCGAAAGCGUGGGGAGCAAACAGG
rnacentral:rRNA from 1 species